rnacentral:rRNA from 1 species
GACGAACGCUGGCGGCGUGCUUAACACAUGCAAGUCGAACGGAAAGGCCCUUCGGGGUACUCGAGUGGCGAACGGGUGAGUAACACGUGGGUGAUCUGCCCUGCACUUUGGGAUAAGCCUGGGAAACUGGGUCUAAUACCGAAUAGGACCACGCGCUUCAUGGUGUGUGGUGGAAAGCUUUUGCGGUGUGGGAUGGGCCCGCGGCCUAUCAGCUUGUUGGUGGGGUAAUGGCCUACCAAGGCGACGACGGGUAGCCGGCCUGAGAGGGUGACCGGCCACACUGGGACUGAGAUACGGCCCAGACUCCUACGGGAGGCAGCAGUGGGGAAUAUUGCACAAUGGGCGCAAGCCUGAUGCAGCGACGCCGCGUGAGGGAUGACGGCCUUCGGGUUGUAAACCUCUUUCAAUAGGGACGAAGCGCAAGUGACGGUACCUAUAGAAGAAGCACCGGCCAACUACGUGCCAGCAGCCGCGGUAAUACGUAGGGUGCGAGCGUUGUCCGGAAUUACUGGGCGUAAAGAGCUCGUAGGUGGUUUGUCGCGUUGUUCGUGAAAACUCACAGCUUAACUGUGGGCGUGCGGGCGAUACGGGCAGACUAGAGUACUGCAGGGGAGACUGGAAUUCCUGGUGUAGCGGUGGAAUGCGCAGAUAUCAGGAGGAACACCGGUGGCGAAGGCGGGUCUCUGGGCAGUAACUGACGCUGAGGAGCGAAAGCGUGGGGAGCGAACAGGAUUAGAUACCCUGGUAGUCCACGCCGUAAACGGUGGGUACUAGGUGUGGGUUCCUUCCUUGGGAUCCGUGCCGUAGCUAACGCAUUAAGUACCCCGCCUGGGGAGUACGGCCGCAAGGCUAAAACUCAAAGGAAUUGACGGGGGCCCGCACAAGCGGCGGAGCAUGUGGAUUAAUUCGAUGCAACGCGAAGAACCUUUCCUGGGUUUGACAUGCACAGGACGCCGGCAGAGAUGUCGGUUCCCUUGUGGCCUGUGUGCAGGUGGUGCAUGGCUGUCGUCAGCUCGUGUCGUGAGAUGUUGGGUUAAGUCCCGCAACGAGCGCAACCCUUGUCCUAUGUUGCCAGCGGGUUAUGCCGGGGACUCGUAGGAGACUGCCGGGGUCAACUCGGAGGAAGGUGGGGAUGACGUCAAGUCAUCAUGCCCCUUAUGUCCAGGGCUUCACACAUGCUACAAUGGCCGGUACAAAGGGCUGCGAUGCCGUGAGGUGGAGCGAAUCCUUUCAAAGCCGGUCUCAGUUCGGAUCGGGGUCUGCAACUCGACCCCGUGAAGUCGGAGUCGCUAGUAAUCGCAGAUCAGCAACGCUGCGGUGAAUACGUUCCCGGGCCU